AGCAGCCGCGGUAAUUCCAGCUCCAAUAGCGUAUAUUAAAGUUGCUGCAGUUAAAAAGCUCGUAGUUGAAUUUCGGGGUCAAUAUGUUGGUCGUGCCUUGGUACGUACUAGCUUAUUGAUUUCUCCUUUCUGACGAACCAUGAUGUCAUUAAUUUGGUGUCAUGGGGAAUCAGGACUGUUACUUUGAAAAAAUUAGAGUGUUUAAAGCAGGCUCGCGCUUGAAUACAUUAGCAUGGAAUAAUGAAAUAGGACAUUUGAUUCUAUUUUGUUGGUUCUAGGAUCGAUGUAAUGAUUAAUAGGGAUAGUUGGGGGCAUUAGUAUUCAAUUGUCAGAGGUGAAAUUCUUGGAUUUAUUGAAGACUAACUACUGCGAAAGCAUUUGCCAAGGAUGUUUUCAUUAAUCAAAACGAAAGUUAGGGGAUCGAAGACGAUCAGAUACCGUCGUAGUCUUAACCAUAAACUAUGCCGACUAGGGAUCGGAUGAUGUUAAUUUUUUAAUGACUCAUUCGGCGCCUUACGGG
rnacentral:rRNA from 1 species